UAAGCUCCCAUUUUAGUAUAAUAACUCUUUUAAGUGAUUAUAACUUGGACUUCCAAUAUGUCGACAUGGAUAAACAGCCUUUUUAAGUGCUCCGUCAUCAUGAUGUGUCGCUGUGGUACGAAAGGAUUGGGAUCAAUUAACUGUAACCACAACCCAGGUCUGGCGAAUAGUGGGGACUUUGACUUUCGGUCCAGCCUAGUUCUGGCUUCAUAGUAAAGUCAACCAGGGUGAUGAUGCAAUGCAAUCACAUGACCAUGAUGACGUCGAUGGAUUCUAUUUAUAGUAUCGGAUUCACAUUAAUUGUUCAUUUAGUUGAAUCCAAUUGCAGUAAGGCUGAAAAUACCUUUUGAUAAGUAAAAACAAUUGAUUUAUUGCAAAUUUGUAAUUAGUUAUUUACUAAUUAUUCAAAAUAGAAAAAAUAACAGCAAAAUAAACACUACAUUUGUGAGGUCAAAUGUAGGUUACAUGGGUAUUUUCUGAAAAUCUUGGUGUCACGUGAUUAAAUUUGAACACUACUAUGACAUAGUUAAGGAAUGCUUAUAAUCGGAUUUAUUAAAAUGAUAAAUUAACUAUCUAUUUAUAGUUUGUUUUAUACUGUAUCAAGCUCAAACAGUCUGUGGUAGGUCUGUAUUUUAUUUUGUUGUGAAACAUUCUGUCCAACUGCUAAUGUGACAUACUGCUAAUGUUACUCAUUCUGUCUUGUGGUAACACUAGCACAUACUCGCAAUUAGCAAUUUAUAAUAUAUAUGUUUAAUAUCAAAGGUAAUGAUAAUUGCACCAUACUAGAGACAUUUAUAUUACCACAACAAAACAUUUAUGUUUAUAGCUUAUCUGAUCUGAUAUAAAAAGAAAACCUAUGUUUGCAGAAAACAUUUUCUGUCUUGUUGUCCAAUUAGGGUUUGUUUCAAUAAAUUUAUUUGAGAAAAACGAAACAAUCUUUAUUUUUUGUCUGUACAAUCUGUUUUAUAGAUAAAUGAACCAUUUAGUGCAAGACAAAAUACUUCUUUGGAUCAAAAUACUAAAAAAAAAUAAGUUUUUACCGGCAAUAUUGUAACACUAGCACAAAUGGUAUGGUGAUACAAAAUUCUUUUUUUAUAAAAAUGCAUGAAUAAAUCAUUGCAAAUGUUCUAAUAUAUGAUAGAUAAGAAAUUGCUGUAAAAGAUUAUGUUGAAAUCACAAAUCUGCAAUAAAUUUUAAAAAUCAAUAUUCGCCGGGAACUUUUUGGUCACCAAAACGUGAAAUCUGCCAUAAAGCAUUUAUUGGUUUUGAAAAUGUGUUUGUGAACUGCAUUUUACUUCAUUUACCUGAGGAUAUAGUUAUUUUGUAUGUACAAUGCACACAAGUGAAAUAACAGCGUGACAUAAAAAUGUCACGAAUUCUGGUAGGGUUUGGAUACGGCGUUCUCUUCAGCUAACACGUCCAAAAAGGUAAUAUAUAACGUGUUAGCUGAAGUUCUUUAGCUAGGUCCAGCCUAUCCAAGGUAAAAUUCCGCCCUGCAGCGAAGAACUAAUGGUCAAACCAAAUUAAAUGCUCCCACAUCCCGGGAACCUUAGGUAAGGUCCAUUCCAGCUAUAUGUUGCGCGAAGAUAAAACAACACUAUUCACCCGGCACUGCCAGGCCAUCUGGAAGGUAACACGUCUCCCUGGACUGGGUCGGGGCGUGGUUACAAAUGACUGGUGCAUAACAUUCUAAAUGCAAUGUCAGAUUCUAAUUGAGAGAAUUGCUCCCAUUUGUCCAAAUUUUAUUUUCAUCAAUUGUGGCAUUGAAAGCAGAUCAGUUAUCAUGCACAGUAAAGAUUUUCCUUUUCUUUUUGUAAUAUAUCUUGAAGAAUAUCAAAGACUGUGGGAACUGAAAGGUUUUCUACCAAGACUUACAGUCAUAGUUGAUAAUGACAAAGUUAUCAAGUAUUGCAUUAUUCAAAUAUAAUUUCAGGUUAUGCAGAUUGUUGAGAGCAAUAUGAUGAGGGAAGGCAGGAAAGAGUACCUGAGUCUUAUAGUCUGUAUGUACCCAUGGCAAAAUGGUGUUCGAGAGGUGGCGAAUAAGGAUUUGCUUGCAGCAUUGAAGAACGAUAAUAGGCAAGGAACAGAAAGAAAGGUUCUCUUAACAUAGAAAGUAAAGAAAUAAUGAAGUCCACACUACAGUUGACAAUCUGGAUGUUUUUCCUUUGUUAUUUGAACAUGAUUUAUUUUAACUUACAUAACAAGUAUGCACUACAAUAAUUAAUAUCUAUAUUAGGCCACAACAAAUUGAUCAUUUGUUCGUCGGAUUUGCCGCACCUAAAAUUCGAAAAACGAAAAAAAAAAAAAAAAAAAAAUUUUUUGCGCCCGCACUUACUAUUUGGCCGCGCAUAUUAUUUAUUUUAUUUACUUCUGAAUUUCCUCUAUUUUCUGAAGUUUUUUUACUUAAAAUUUGAACCUGCAACGUCGACUUCGCCUUUUUUUGAAGGUAUUUCCAUGCUUUACAUUCUCCGCGAGCAAACUUUCCUCGUGUCAGGACAAAAUCAGGUCCGGGUAACCGCAAAACAGCCGAUAUUUGUUGACAGUCUUUUUUGUCGGGAAUAUUUUGCAGGACGCACCGUUGUUAUCUAUGUCCGGUGUGGCGUGAGAAUUAUCAGACCGUGAGAUUUGCAAGAUCUUACAGAUUUCACACUACGGCGUGAGAAAUGUAAGUCGUGAGAAAUGUAAGACCGCUGCAUCCAAUGCACUUAUAGGAUGGUGAAUUAUUAUUGAAGACGUAUAUAUUGUAUGAUGUCCGCGUUUGUCCGUUUUGUAUAAAAAGGGGAUACAAAUAAUUAAUAUGAAAGACAGUGUUUUUGAUAUAUUCCAAUUAAUCGCCAUUUAAUGUCAUUUUGUAUGAACAAAUCUAAUAAAACUUGACUUAAUUAACAGAAUAUAGAACGGAGACUGGUGGUGUUUGAUUGACAAUUGUAAGACAUUAUUGUUAGACGUAAUGUUUUAUUGGCCCUGAAAAGGGCCGUUUCGUUAUAUUCCUUAACUACCGGUACUGCAUGAUACAGACACCUGAGCAGAACGCGAUUACCCUCGUGCGUGAGGUGUACACCGUCGCUUGAAAUGUGCCUGGUUGGCACAACUGCCGCCGUCUUGAUCCGCUGGGAAUUGACGACCAGGAAGACAUGCCGCCGCUUUUCAGCUGACGCGUGACGUCUCGGCAGGAGUUCGACGACACUACUAAGUGCCGCCUUCCCGACGAGACGGCGGAUCUGCCCACAUAUCUCAAGCAGAUCCUCAACGAUCUCGUCCGGCACUCUUUUUCACAUAUAUCAGUACGCCUGCAACUGAUUCAAAUAUUUACAACCGUCGUGCCACAUGAUUUUGAAAUAAGAAGUAUAUAUUGAUAUAUCUAUAUAAAUUCAUCUAUAUAUACCUUUUUUCCUCUGUAAAGCUAUGGGGAGCAAAACAAUAAGUUCAUAAACAUACACUGCACAAUAAUUUUUCGUACAGCUAUUCUCACUGACCUGUCAUAGAUAUUUUUAAAAUAGACGGAUUUGGCUCGUAUACCUCUGCGGAUAUCAAGGUUGUUAGCUUCAAUGUGAGCCCGGCCGUAACAAGUCACAGGCUUAACAGACAUGUAGUGGCCUUAUGAAUGCCAAUAUAUAUUUGGUCAAAAUGCCUCCACAAUAAACUCGAUUAUUUCCAUUGACCACAAAUAACUUGACAAAUCAAUAGCUGACGUGCCAGACGAUUCCUCAACAGUAUCAUUUAGUGCGUCGUACAUAUAUAUGCUCAUAAUGAACCAACAGGGUACUAAUGAAACACGGAGUGUUGGGAGAGUCUGUCGUUUCGAGGCACAUUGAAAUAUGACAGCCCCGUUUUCCUCCUCACACUCUGAUGCAUCGGCUAAAAAGGUCGACACUGCGCUUUUACCCGACAUGUGUCUGUUAAGAUUAUGUUUUCCCUUUUAAAGAUUAGUGAGUAAGAUGUUGAAAGGUGCUCAUACAAUUGUGAAUUGGUGGAACCCGAGUGCAUAAUUAGAUUUGCCUCUCCUUAUCUAUGCAACAUCAAUCCCUUUCCCUUUCCCUCGCCACUUCGUUAGAUCUAAGUCCAGUUGUGUAGGUUUUCAAUAAGGUUGUUUGAAAUGGUCCUUGCACCACUUCGUGGCAGUUCUAAAAAAACAUUGAUUUCCUUACCAACAAUAUACCGCACACAAACACUCAUCUGUUCUGUUACACUAAUAUCAGUCAUUUCAUCAACUAUGAUGCCAAAAAACUGGCAUUUUGAAACAUCACAUACAAUCUUUUCACGUAUAUAG